UAAUAAUAAUAAUAAUAAUAAUUGUCUCUUUUUUUGGCAGUAAUUGAAAGAAUAAGGACUCGAACUUAGCUCCGUUAAAUGAGUAAUAUAUUUUUAGUCACUAAAUCAUAUAAGAAUAAACAAUAAUAAUCAUUAUUUCAAUAACAUAGUAAAGUGCAAUAUAGAGUUUAAUAAAAUAAAAAUUACCAUGUAGAAUAUAGAGUUGACACAAGCAUAUCAUGAGAUAACCUAUAUCAGGGAAGUCCAACUCGAUUUUGUAGAAGCAUACAAUAUUCAAAGAAAUCCAGCUCAAUUUUAUUCAUAACAUAGCUCUACUCAACCCAGCAAAACUAGCCAUAUCCUUAUACAUAACAUGUUACUAAUGUCACUAUGGAGUUUUAAAGACAUAGCAAUAUAUAAAUAGAUACAAUAAUCCUAUUAGUAAAAAUGCAGGUUAUAACUCAAAAUAAAAUGCUUCUUCUGUCUCCUAAAAUAAUAUUUAAACAAAGAUGAGUGUUAAUUUAGAGAGUUUAUUGAUUAUAAUUAUAAUUUUUAUAACUAUUAAAAAUUAAUAUGGUCUUAAAAAUGAAAAUGUGCACACAUAAUAUUAGAUUAUUAGUUGGAUAACAUAAGCUAUCAUCAAUGCCCUAUCCAUAGUUAGAUGAAUUCGCAAGCAAAUUAUUCUUUUUGAUAUUUAUAUUUUUUUCCUAUAUUAACUAAUCCUCAUUAGUUCAUUCUUUUUUAUGACAAAUUCUUAUCUGGCAGAGAAAAUGUAUUCAAUAGUCAAGAUUUCUACUUAAUUCUUUAAAUCCAAAAAAAUAAAAGAGCGUACGUCUCUUGUUUAUUCUUAGCUUAAUUGAUCAUAAUGAAUUUAAUACCCAUUAUGAAAUUAAAACAUCAUUUAUGAAAAAUUACAAAUUGGGAAACCCAUCAUUGUUUUUGUUGGAAAUAUGAUUUAAAUUACCCAUAUAGAUAGAUCAAUCUGAAUUCAUUAAACUUGAAAUCAGAACUAAGAAUAACCGUAUAAAAAGUAGUAUACAUUGCCAAAAUAUGACGAAAAUCCAAAAGUCGUAUAUGUUGAUCAAAAGAUGUAACUACAUGCGAAGACGUAACUCUUUUUAAUAUUUACAUGUAUAAAAUGAUGCAACUUUUAAUCAAAAGGUGCCAUGACUUUUAAAUAGCCAUGUUUGAUUUUCAUUAAUGAGGCAAGAAAAACACAUACAGAAUGAGUAAUAAAAGAAUAAAUGAGUGUGCAUUUAUCUGUGCGUAAGUUCGGCUCGAUUCUUAAUUUUUAGAGGCUCUCAUUUUAAACAAGAUGUGGAGUAAUUUAUUUUUAUAAAUAACGUAUCAUCUAGACUGUGAAUUAAUUUAUAAAUUGCAUGUUAUUCAUGUAAUUAUAUGGUAGAUUAGUGAAACAAAUAUGAUAAAGAUUUUAGGGUUAUAUGAACAUGAGUUAGGAUUCAUGUAUUUGAAUUUAUUUGUUGAGUCUUUAUAAUUUUCUUCAUUGGUAUCAAAGCCCUAAUAUUUGUUUCCUAAUUUAAUUAACAUGUAUAUUUUUCUUUAUAGCAUGUUUUAUUAUUAUUUUUUUAAAUUGAUGUUGUUUUGUGAAUCAAAUUCAUAUAGAUAACAAUUUAUAUUCUUUCCGCAAAUUCUUCCUCUAUCUGGAAUCGUUUUAGAAUAGUUUUAUUUUUUUUAUAUAAGUUUUCUGAAAGAUUUUGAAUCUUGAAAAUUGAUAUUCAAAUUUGGAAUAUUUGAUUUAUUUUUUAAUUAAAAAAAUAAAUUUGCAUGACCUGAAAAAUCUAAAAGGAACUGGUAGUAGCGUCAAAAGGACGUUAGUGAUACUAACUGUCCCAAACGAGCACCGGUGCCCGAUGGUCUCGGACAGCCAUUGGACGUCCUGUUGGUGGUGGCGCUGUGCAUUGGGUGACUAAAAUUUGUGAUUUGAAAAUCGUUUUCAGCCAGUAGAAGAUGCCGGUGAUGCUUGCAUCUAUGCUGGCAUUGUAUGGAUGUCCAGCUGAUCAUGGUUCUUCGAUGGAAGGAAGAGGAAGAAAGGGCGUAGCCUAUUGCCCAUGUUGUUUAAUGAAAUUACUGGUCUGCCAUUAUUAACUUUGUCUUUUUUUUUUUUUCAAGAAUCUACAGAAUUGCCAUUGAUGUUUCAUACUAUUCUUUUUCAUCAAUUUACAAUAUUGCCAUUUGAC
rnacentral:misc_RNA from 1 species